GGGGGCGUACCGGAUUUCGACGGGGAUUUGGAGCUUUGAUGUGCGAGCAGUGCGCAAACCACUUAAACUUGCAAAUUAAAAUUAAACGCUAAUUCUAACGAAUUGGUUGCUGCCUAAUUAGGCAGCCGUUCCCUCUCGGAGGACUGCGACCGAGAACGGAGCGUCGACAAGCAGUGAACGUUACUUGACGGUGUCGAGAGUCAUUUAAUGAACAACUUCGACUAUAUCGGUGACGGAUUUGUCUCUUGUUCCCAUCCGACAAACAUAAACAACAGACUACGCUCGUAGUACAUCCUUGUAACGGAUUUUCGGACACGGGUUCAACUCCCGUCGCCUCCACCC
rnacentral:tmRNA from 1 species